rnacentral:rRNA from 1 species
GACGAACGCUGGCGGCGUGCUUAACACAUGCAAGUCGAACGGAAAGGCCCUGCUUUUGUGGGGUGCUCGAGUGGCGAACGGGUGAGUAACACGUGAGUAACCUGCCCUUGACUUUGGGAUAACUUCAGGAAACUGGGGCUAAUACCGGAUAGGAGCUGCUGCUGCAUGGUGGGGGUUGGAAAGUUUCGGCGGUUGGGGAUGGACUCGCGGCUUAUCAGCCUGUUGGUGGGGUAGUGGCUUACCAAGGCUUUGACGGGUAGCCGGCCUGAGAGGGUGACAGGCUACAUUGGGACUGGGGUACGGCCCAGACUCAUACGGGAGGAAGGAGUGGGGAAUAUUGCGAAAUGGGCGGAAGCAUGGAGGAGCAACGCCGCGUGCGGGAUGACGGCCUUCGGGUUGGAAACCGCUUGCGCGUGUGAAGGAGCGUGAGUGACGGAAAUGGGUAGAGAAGCACCGGCUAACUAGGU